GGCUCGGUAGCUUAGUUGGUAAAGCGUUCGUCUAGCAUACAAGAGUCCUGGGUUCAAAUCCCAGCCGAGUAC
rnacentral:tRNA from 1 species